AUUGAACGCUGGCGGCAGGCCUAACACAUGCAAGUCGAGCGGAGCGGCGGACGGGUGAGUAAUGCCUAGGAAUCUGCCUGGUAGUGGGGGAUAACGUCCGGAAACGUGCGCUAAUACCGCAUUCUAUCAGUUGAGCCUAGGUUGGAUUAGCUAGUUGGUGGGGUAAAGGCCUACCACGGCGACGAUCCGUAACUGGUCUGAGAGGAUGAUCAGUCACACUGGAACUGAAACACGGUCCAGAUUCCUACGGGAGGCAGCAGUGGGGAAUAUUGGGCAAUGGACGAAAGCCUGAUCCAGACAUGCCGCGUGUGUGAAGAAGGUCUUCGGAUUGUAAAGCACUUUAAGUUGGGAGGCGUUACCAACAGAAUAAGCACCGGCUAACUACGUGCCAGCAGCCGCGGUAAUAG
rnacentral:rRNA from 1 species